UGACCUUCAGAGAGCCCCUGCGCUCUUCCC
rnacentral:piRNA from 1 species